rnacentral:rRNA from 1 species
UGGGGAAUCUUGCACAAUGGGGGCAACCCUGAUGCAGCGACGCCGCGUGAGCGAUGAAGCCCUUCGGGGUGUAAAGCUCUUUCGGCAGGGAAGAUAAUGACGGUACCUGCAGAAGCAGCUGCGGCUAACUACGUGCCAGCAGCCGCGGUAAUACGUAGGCAGCGAGCGUUGUUCGGAGUUACUGGGCGUAAAGGGUGUGUAGGCGGUUGUUUAAGUUUGGUGUGAAAUCUCCCGGCUCAACUGGGAGGGUGCGCCGAAUACUGAAUGACUUGGAGUGCGGGAGAGGAAAGUGGAAUUCCUGGUGUAGCGGUGAAAUGCGUAGAUAUCAGGAGGAACACCGGUGGUGUAGACGGCUUUCUGGACCGUAACUGACGCUGAGACACGAAAGCGUGGGUAGCAAACA